ACCUACGGGGGGCAGCAGUGGGGAAUAUUGCACAAUGGGCGAAAGCCUGAUGCAGCAACGCCGCGUGAGCGAUGAAGGCCUUCGGGUCGUAGAGCUCUGUCCUCAAGGAAGAUAAUGACGGUACUUGAGGAGGAAGCCCCGGCUAACUACGUGCCAGCAGCCGCGGUAAUACGUAGGGGGCUAGCGUUAUCCGGAAUUACUGGGCGUAAAGGGUGCGUAGGUGGUUUCUUGAGUCAGAGGUGAAAGGCUACGGCUCAACCGUAGUAAGCCUUUGAAACUGGGGGACUUGAGUGCAGGAGAGGAGA
rnacentral:rRNA from 1 species